AAUAAGCCUGCAAAUCACUAUUAUAUACCUUAAAUUGUCUUUAAUUAAAACUCUCCACUGUUUUCCAGAAAUAACUGUUUUCCAGUUCAGGAAAGCUAUAAUGAUAUUUCUAUUAAAAAACAAAACAAAACAACUAACGAUUACAUCAAAAUUUUUAGGUAGGGCAGAAGGGAGAAAUUCCCUACCUUCUCACCAGCAUCUACAACACUAGCUGUGGAUGCCAAAUAUCAAGAAGAAAACAUGAGAAAAAAAAAAAAAUCAAAGAUUAGUUUUACCUUGAAUGGGAUGAUCCAGAAGGUGACCUGUGGUGCCUGUAAGACAUAAUGGAGAAAGCAGGUAAUCUGAGAGAUGCUACCUCAUUCACCUUGAUUUCGACCCACGAGAUCUCGAACGUUCUCUGGAACUGGAACGAGAUCUUGACUGCGAACUGGAAGAACUUCUUGAACGGGACCUGGAACAACAUGGAAGGAUUUUUUUUUUCCAGGACCAUUUAAUUAAGCUUUGUGAUACGAACACUGAAAGAAAAAUAUGUAUUAGAAUUCAUUUUCAUAUAGUAAGAAUACUAUUUGGGACAUAUAUUUUCAAAAUACAGUAUUUUAAGGUUUAUUUUAAACUUUUAUUCUGUAUUAACACUUAUGCCAAAACUUAAGGUAAUAGAUUAAUUUUUGAAAAUAAUCAACUAUUACUUUCCA